AGCAGAAUGGCCUAGUGGAAAGUGUUGGACUUAAAGUUAUAGAGGACCUGGGUUCUCAUCCCAGUUCUGUCA
rnacentral:tRNA from 1 species